AAGCUCGCUUCAGCAGCAUGUAUACUAAAAUUGGAAAGAUAGAGAGAUUAGCCUGGCCCCUGCACAAAGAUGAUAUGCAAAUGCCUGGAUCAUUCCAUGUUAAA
ensembl:snRNA U6 U6 spliceosomal RNA